rnacentral:rRNA from 1 species
UACAGAGGUCUCAAGCGUUGUUCGGAUUCAUUGGGCGUAAAGGGUGCGUAGGUGGCGCCGUAAGUCGGAUGUGAAAUCCUGAGGCUUAACCUCGGAACUGCAUUCGAUACUGCGGUGCUUGAGGACUGGAGAGGAGACUGGAGUUCAUGGUGUAGCAGUGAAAUGCGUAGAGAUCAUGAGGAAGACCAGUGGCGAAGGCGGGUCUCUGGACAGUUCCUGACACUGAGGCACGAAGGCCAGGGGAGCAAACGGG